rnacentral:rRNA from 1 species
CUAUGUCGUACACGGUCACCACUAACCCGCACUUCGAGCAGCCCCGCAAGGGGAGCGGCAGACGGGUGAGUAACGCGUGGGAAUCUACCCUUGACUACGGAAUAACGCAGGGAAACUUGUGCUAAUACCGUAUGUGUCCUUCGGGAGAAAGAUUUAUCGGUCAAGGAUGAGCCCGCGUUGGAUUAGCUAGUUGGUGGGGUAAAGGCCUACCAAGGCGACGAUCCAUAGCUGGUCUGAGAGGAUGAUCAGCCACAUUGGGACUGAGACACGGCCCAAACUCCUACGGGAGGCAGCAGUGGGGAAUAUUGGACAAUGGGCGCAAGCCUGAUCCAGCCAUGCCGCGUGAGUGAUGAAGGCCCUAGGGUUGUAAAGCUCUUUCACCGGAGAAGAUAAUGACGGUAUCCGGAGAAGAAGCCCCGGCUAACUUCGUGCCAGCAGCCGCGGUAAUACGAAGGGGGCUAGCGUUGUUCGGAAUUACUGGGCGUAAAGCGCACGUAGGCGGAUCGAUCAGUCAGGGGUGAAAUCCCAGGGCUCAACCCUGGAACUGCCUUUGAUACUGUCGAUCUGGAGUAUGGAAGAGGUGAGUGGAAUUCCGAGUGUAGAGGUGAAAUUCGUAGAUAUUCGGAGGAACACCAGUGGCGAAGGCGGCUCACUGGUCCAUUACUGACGCUGAGGUGCGAAAGCGUGGGGAGCAAACAGGAUUACAUACCUGGGUAGUCACGCCGUAAACGAUGAAUGUUAGCCGUCGGGCAGU